GUUUCUGUUUGGGAGUUUUUUGCUGUUGUCCAACCAGAGGAGCAGUUUGCAAGACCUCCUGCUCAUUUCACUUUUCUGUUUCACCAAAAAGGUGGGAAGCCAUACAGCUGUUUCUGUUACGUGACAUGCUUCCAUCUGUGGUUUGGUUUUUUUUUUUUUUCCUGUACUUUUGUCUCUGGGAACUGACACAUUUCAAAAACCAGGCCCGUAAGCACACUGAACUCUGCCUGAUCUGCUUGAGUAAAACAUACUUUGAAGCAUCUGGUGCUUUGACAUCUGUGAAGCAAAAUAAUCAAGCUGAAAUAGUGUUACAAGCUGUGAGAGAAAUCCCCGUGCCUGUAACAGCUAGAAAGAACUAGCCCCAAGGACUACUGCUAGGCUGGGAUGAGAUAUCCACCAAGCCAAGCUGGGAAAGCACUGAACAGAACAGCUGCAGUGCAAUCUUCAGGUUUUGUGAGUUAACGAUUUGAUGCCUUUGUGGAGGUCAGUUGGAACUUGUCAUUCUGUGUUUGUGAAAGGCCCAGGCAGAGGAGAUGCGUCUCGUCUCCCAUGUCUCAGAUGUUUUUCACUUAUCUUUUACUAAAUAGGCGAGGUGUUCUUGCCUGGUGCGUUUUACAUAUCUUAAUGAACCUUGCAUGCCUAGUACCUUUUCUGACCUGUUUUUGAAGAUAAAUUCCUACAGACAGAUCCCAUCCUAUCAGAUGCUUAAUGGUAGAAGAUCUUUGUGCUUUCCACAACGUAAGGCUGUCAGUCCAUCACAAACUUCCCUUUGAGUGCUCUGUUCAGUAGCUCUGAAGCGGUGAAGUUACAACUUCAAAGAUGCCACAAAGCGCGGUCAAGUGCUGAGGAUGCCAUUACGUCUGCUCGCCCGUCCACACCCUUAAUCGUAGAACCACUAAGGUUGGAAAAUAGUCUGUCUUCCUGUAAAAGCACAGGAGCAGCACAGCUUUUUGGUACCACUGGUUUUGACUCUUGCUGCCUUUGCACAAGCCAAGAGACACGAAGGUGAUCCCUGUGCUGCCUGCACAAGGGCAGCUUAUCUGCAACAGAUGGAUGUGAGGACAGGCCACGUUUACUCCCACCACGUCCCCAUCCGUGCGCACCGCUCCUCGCAGCAGCGCAGAUGCAGACAAAAGCAGGGGAAAGCAGCAAGUGGGCCCGCUGGCUCCUGCACAGCAGCCCCAGGUGCCUGUGCCGCUCGCCCUCGGGAGCCUCGCGCACACACUCGGUCCGAGCCGGCAUUUUCCUGGCACCUCGCAGCUCCGCGUGUAUCGCCCCGUGCCUGGCGUUACGCCUUCGUGCCGGGGCUUUAUGGCUCGGAGGAGCGGAGGAAGGGCUUUGGGAGAGGCGGGGUGCCUGCCGCCGCCAUCUUGUCGGGCAGCUCCCUGCAGGCCUACAGCCCCCAGCAUGCGCCGCGGCCGGCGGGUGCGGUGCGGCAGGACUACAGCCCCCAGCACGCCCCGCGGCCGGAGCCGCCCCAAGAUGGCGGCGCCCAGGGGCGGCUCGGGCUCGGACCCGGACUCGGACUCAGACAGCGGCGGCGAGGCGGCGGCGCGGUUUCGGGAGGCGGCCUGGGACUGCGUGAAGCAGGCGGCGGUGGGAGCGGAGCCGCGCGGUGGUGGCUUUAAAAAAGAUCGGUUACAGUCUGCUCAGCCUAGCCUAAGGCGUGAGGUGAAUGGUCAUGAUGAGGAUGGAAAUGAGCUACAGACCACACCGGAGUUCAGAGCACAUGUUGCAAAGAAACUGGGAGCAAUGCUGGACAGUUUCAUCACUGUCUUGAAGGAUUCAUCAGGACCUUCACAAACUUAUGUGCAGCAGCCUGACGGUGGAGAUGAUGGUUUUCGCCUCUUCUCCUCCUCUGUCCCAGGAGACUGUGAGAAAUCAGAGUGUAGCCGAGCCUCAAGGAGGAGACAGCCAUCUAGCUCCAGUGACCUGGACAGUGAUCAAGAGUGGCAAAGGUACCAAGAGGCUGCUGUGUCAGCUGCAGACAUUUUGAAGCAAAGCACUUUUCCUGCUCUGUCCCAGGAUUCCAGCCAGAAUCCAAGUCAGGGUUAUGUAGAGCACAGCCAGAAGAAAAAGAAGAAAAAGAAAAUUAAGGGAGAGAACAAGACUGAAAAGAAAUUAAUAGACUCAGCAGAGUGUGACCAGGUCAGCAAAGAUUUGCCACACUUGUCUGCAAAUGGGCAGCAUAAGAGACAAGACAGCAAUCAUACAGAGAACACAGUGUUGCCCGGAGCUGUGAAGAAGAAGAAAAAGAAGAAGAAAAAAAGUGAAUGAAGGUUUUGCUCUGCAAAUGACAGAUGGCAUCUACACCCAGAGUACCACCAGCUCCCCUUGCUGCAGUGACCUAAAAAAAGUUCAGAUGGCUACAGAAGACUAUGAGGCAAAAAAGAAGUAACCAUUUGGAGUCCAUGUAAAAACACUUAAUGACCUCACUGAAUGCUACAACCGGAUGCCAUAUGGAGAAUCGUGAGCUGAAAAUGGAAACCUUUCAAAUACUGAGGAGGAGGGUGAGGAUGAGUUGGAGAACAGGAACAGCUCUGGAGUUCAGUUAAUGAAGGAGUUUCCCACUAGGUGGUAGUGAAGAGAAUCAUGUCACGCAACUGGUCAGUGCACACUUUAAUUAUUUUCUCAACAAGGGGAAUCCCACAAGGAUCUUACAAGCAGAACAGCCUAGCAUAGACAAGGAUCUUACAAGCAGAACAGCCUAGCAUAGCUGUGAGCUAUACUGUCAAAACUGGAUCUCUUGAUUUUUGCAUUCCCUAGUUGUUUCCGUGCCACUUGCUGCUCCUAAAACCAACCUGCAUUAACAACUCUACCUGUCAUGUCCUUUCCUGAAAGGUGAAGUGAGUCUACAUGAAUCUGCUCUGGUUUCUUUCCACCUCCAUUAUAAAGGCAUCAAGACAUGGUUAGUUAAUGUCAUCUAAUGACAUUUAAGCUCUUUGGAGCUGAGGACUCUUUGUAGCCAGUACUUUCAUCUGAUUCUCCACCAUACAUUCCUGUGUUCUGGGAACUACGUAAAAGAAAAUACAUUUUUUUUGUUUGCUGCUAGUUUUGAAAUACUUUGACAGGUCUAGGUAGUGCAUCAGUCUACAUCCAAGACACCAGAAAGAACAGCUAUUUUGGAAGGGCUUUGUAAUGCCAGAGUAAAUUGUCACUGAAAUUCAGAGUAAAGCUCUCUUGUAGGUCCAAAGAAAGUAUACACAAAAGAGAUGCUGGGAAAGUUAUCUGCAGAAUACAAGCUGUGCUCCCCUUUAGAGUGAGGGCAGAUGUUGAGUCUGCAAGGACGAAUAAGUUUCUCCUGUGAAUUCAUCUGACCACUGUAACAUGAUAGAGCAAGCUUGCAAAACCAUUCAGUAAUUUACACACAAAGCCUGAGAUGCUGGAAAAAAAAAUACUUUAGCGCUCAUCAACUAAGAAUCACUUUUGUCAAAUUAAUGCAUUGCCAAUUUUGCAAGACUGAGAAACUGGAAGCUGUUUCAGUAAGGAUACAAAGUAGGGAUAUUGUUUAUAGAUAUCAGUGUCUUUUACAUUGUCUCAGAAAAAAACUAAGAAAGGAUAUUUAGUAUCAAGACAAUAUUGAAACAUUGAUUUAUCUUUCCCUGCGUUGAUUCAAAAGUUUUUUCUCUUGCAUUUAUUGUAUUAGAACCAUUGAAAAUGGUAGCAUUAACACACAUCCAAGAUACUGGGAUAACACCGCAACAGAGUGAAGAUUCUAAAUUAUUUGUCAGUUUUCUAAUUGUUAGUGUAGAUUCUUCUGCUGCGAUGAGGAAGGAGAAAGCAAGGGGACUUCUCCAUUGUGCAAGUCCUAUCACCAGUCUGAACAUUUUUAAUUUGAAAGGGGGAGAACUAUAGUUUCCACACAAAGUGAUUAACUAGGCUAUGUACCCUACAGCUCAAGGUUUUAUGCAUGACUCGCUCCUCUCUGUUUAUAUCCAAUCCACCACAGCUUUAAUUCUUACUGAGAUAAGCACAAGUAUUGCGUAUGGGGUGUAAAUUGGGAGAUAUAUAUGGUCAGCGGAGAAUUUUUUGCAAGGUAGCCUAGCCUGAGCUGGGUGAGAGAUGUUAGUGUUGCUGCCUAAUCCUUCCCCUGCAUAUAGCAGCCAUGACUGACCCCAGCAGGAAUCCCAAUAAGCCAGUCAGUCAUGAUGCUUUGAUUAUUCACACCACCUAGUUGAUAAAUCCAAUUCCCAAGCAGAUUUCUUAAGUGUUGAUUAUGUCAGGAGCUCUAAGGUCAUUCCUGUCCACAAGGCCAAAGGACUAUGAAAAGUGCAGAGGAUUUGUGUGUUAAGGUGUGACAACACCCCAAAGCUGUGAAUCACUUGUAAGACUCCAGAAGAAAAUAAGGGGAGAGAAGAUGACUUCCUUCCAUCUCCAGUGCAACUCCUCACAAUGUUUUCAAUGCAUGCACAGCGUAGAAGCUUGUGAAGCUUCGUACUAAAGCUUGUUUAAGUUAAGCACAAGAAUCCCUGGCAUUCUGUCCACCAAGAACUCUGCAUCUGCCCAUGCAACAUCUUCCACCCACAGUCCCCCCCAAACUUCAGGUGGCUGGAACAUGAUGCAUUUCCUCUUUACUGAUGAGGAAACCAAGCUAGCAGAGGAGAAGUGAGCCACCCAGGAUUACACAGAACUGAGAAGAAAUUAUUUGUUCUCAACUUUUAAUCCUGUCUCGUGACUACAUACAAGCCUAAGUUUUUUGUUUUUUUUAACCCCAUUUAAGAGAAUAAACAAGCUGAGCAAAAUUAGGUCAUAUAUUCUAUCCACUACUAAUAAAAAUAAGCUCAGGUGGGCUCUAGAAGCCAUUUUGGAGACACGUGAUGCACCUGUAGAUGCAAAGAUAUUGUCCUAAUCCCCAUGCUGUUUUUUGAAGAUUUUUGCAAAGUUAUAUUAAGGCACAGAAUUUCUACAUACCUCAAAACAAAACAAAACAAAACACAACCAAACACCUAUUUUUACCAGACCUGGGCGUUAUUCUCCUACUUCUGUUUCAUGCGGUUACCUCACCUCCAGCUGCAAGCUAAAAUCAGCUCGCCUCCCUCCCACACUGAGAGGAACAACGAGUGAGACCGCAUGGCCACGCUGAAGUCAACUGCUCCACAGUGAUCGAAGCCCCGCUCACGGAGGCGUAUGGGACGUACCGGGGGGGAGGAUCACGGUACCCCCGUGGGUUACCCGGGUGAGCAAACCUAGGCUGGGCCCUGGCCCUGCGCUCGGCAGCACCGUCACCAAGGACCGAGGAGUCGGCAGCAGCACUGGUGAAGCUGCUCAUUUCGGUUAGAUCGGGCUCUUGAGUGUUAUGUUCCCUGCUGCGAGCCUUCCUAAGAAAGAAAAAGGCAACAAAACCCCACAAUUUUAUCAUCGGCAUAUUUUUUUGCUGUUUGUGACCUAACACAGCCCAGACGAACGAGCCUCCGCAAGCACCCCACCACAAGGGGGACACCCGAACCCUUAC